rnacentral:RNase_P_RNA from 1 species
CGAGUCGGUCGGGCGACCGCGAGCACGCCGGGUGACCGGCGGGUUCGAGGAAAGUCCGGGCUCCACAGGGCAGGGUGGUUGGUAACGCCAACCCGGGGUGACCCGCGGGACAGUGCCACAGAAAACAAACCGCCGGUGCGGGAGCGAUCCCGAGCCGGUAAGGGUGAAACGGUGCGGUAAGAGCGCACCAGCGCCCACGGUGACGUGGGCGGCUCGGUAAACCCCACCCGGAGCAAGGUCGAGAAGGACCGGGCGCGAGCCCGUUCCGCGCAGAUGUCCGAGGGCUGCUCGCCCGAGUCUGCGGGUAGACCGCUCGAGGCGCACGGCGACGUGCGCCCUAGAUGGAUGGUCGCCACGCGCCCUGCACGCAGGGUGCGUACAGAACCCGGCUUACAGACCGGCUCGCCGC